UGUUGAUGUCUUUGAAAGAGUGAUGCUCUUACUGAUUUUUUUUAUUUUAUUUUUUGUUUUUUCAUGAUAAACUCUAAUUUUUAUGCAAUUGCAGGAAUCUGAAUCUUCUUCGAACACAAGAGGUGAUGAGCUUCUUUCAGACUCCUUCCCCUACAAGGAACUCUUGAAUGGGAUCCUAUGAGAAGUUGAAGGAAAGUGAUUAAUAUCCGCUUGAGUAACCCAAUCUGAGUCUGAUUUUUUUAGUUUAACGAUUCAGGUAAACUUUCCCGAUUUGGGUUUUCUGCAAGGCUAAUCAUCUAAAUUAAUUUGUUAUUUUUAUGGUUUACAUCCUAAAACCCAGUUUUACAGUAUCUCAUGAUAAUCUUUCUUCGUUUUUUAGAAUCUGAUCUAAUUGGGCAAUAAUCUGAAGAAAUGUGUUUAAUUAAGCUACGACAAGGUGUGUAUAGCAUUAUGAUUGAUAUUAUAAAAAAAUAGCUAUAACAUUUUCUCCUCCUGUAAUUUUGUAUAGCAUUAUUUAUAAAAUGAUUACAGGUAUGAUAAAAA